rnacentral:rRNA from 1 species
CCUACGGGAGGCAGCAGUGGGGAAUUUUGGACAAUGGGCGCAAGCCUGAUCCAGCAAUGCCGCGUGCAGGAUGAAGGCCUUCGGGUUGUAAACUGCUUUUGUACGGAACGAAACGGUCUGCUCUAAUACAGUGGGCUAAUGACGGUACCGUAAGAAUAAGCACCGGCUAACUACGCGCCAGCAGCCGCGGUAAUACGUAGGGUGCGAGCGUUAAUCGGAAUUACUGGGCGUAAAGCGUGCGCAGGCGGUUAUAUAAGACAGAUGUGAAAUCCCCGGGCUCAACCUGGGACCUGCAUUUGUGACUGUAUAGCUAGAGUGCGGCAGAGGGGGAUGGAAUUCCGCGUGUAGCAGUGAAAUGCGUAGAUAUGCGGAGGAACACCGAUGGCGAAGGCAAUCCCCUGGGCCUGCACUGACGCUCAUGCACGAAACGACGGUGGGGAGGACGAAACAAGGAGUUAGUAUACCCUACGGUAGUACCGACCGACCCUAAACCG